rnacentral:rRNA from 1 species
CCUACGGGAGGCAGCAGUGGGGGAUAUUGCACAAUGGGGGGAACCCUGAUGCAGCGACGCCGCGUGGGUGAAGAAGCGCCUCGGCGCGUAAAGCCCUGUCAGCAGGGAAGAAAAUGACGGUACCUGAAGAAGAAGCCCCGGCUAACUACGUGCCAGCAGCCGCGGUAAUACGUAGGGGGCAAGCGUUAUCCGGAUUUACUGGGUGGAAAGGGGGCGCAGACGGCGAUGCAAGUCAGGAGUGAAAGGCCGGGGCCUAACCCCGGGACUGCUCUUGAAACUGGGUGGCUGGAGUGCAGGAGAGGCAGGCGGAAUUCCUGGUGUAGCGGUGAAAUGCGUAGAUAUCAGGAGGAACACCGGUGGCGAAGGCGGCCUGCUGGACUGCAACUGACGUUGAGGCCCGAAAGCGUGGGGAGCAAACAGGAUUAGAUACCCCGGUAGUC